AUUAAUUACAUUAUAACUGCUGUGUUUUCACGAAGGGAUACGAGCUAAAAAGGAAGUUAUUGUGGUAUAUAAGUACUAUGUAGUAGAAUAGUAUAUUUAUUUCUUUUUAGUUGUGAAAGGCUUGUCACGUUUUCCGAUAACUUGAUAUAGGAGAAAAAUAUUAAGUAUAUACACAAGCAAAUAAAGCUUAGCUUUUUUGCGCAUAUAAAAAUUAUAUUUAACCUAUUAUAAAGUGUAAUUGCUAAUUAUAAAUUAUAAGAACAUUUAUCAUAUAAAUAUUAUAUUAAAUACCCUAUGCUUAAGAAUAGUUGUCAUUAAUUCAUAUUGUUAGUAUUAGUAGUAGUAGUAAGUAUUUUAAAGGAAUUCGGCAAAUAUUAUAUGCUCGACUGUUUAUCAAAAACAUAACUAUAUGUACUAAUAUAUAGCUUUUUCUGCUCAAUGGUAUAUCUUAAUAGCCGCAGUACCCUGACUGUGCAAAGGUAGCAUAAUCAGUUGGCUUAUAAUUGAAGUCUGGCAUGAACGAAAUUACGGGUAGAAGCUAUCUAUAAAAUAUUUUUAUGAACUUGGUUAGUAAGUGAAAAAACUUACAGAAUUCAAAUAGACGAGAAGACCCUAGAAAUUUUAAUACGUACAGCAUUUUUGUUGGGGCGACAGAGUUACAUAGAACUAACUUUAAAGAACAUGAAACAGAGGUGAUAGAUAAAAUUACUCUAGGGAUAACAGCAUAAUUUUAUUAGUUUAUGACCUCGAUGUUGGACUAGGGACGGUAUACUUUAGAAGAGUGUACUGUAUGCUCUGUUCGAGCAGCAAUACCUACAUGAUCUGAGUUCAGACCGG
rnacentral:rRNA from 1 species